rnacentral:rRNA from 1 species
UACGUAGGCAGCAAGCGUUGUUCGGAGUUACUGGGCGUAAAGGGUGCGUAGGCGGCUUUUUAAGUUUGGUGUGAAAUCUCCCGGCUCAACUGGGAGGGUGCGCCGAAUACUGAGAGGCUAGAGUGUGGGAGAGGAAAGUGGAAUUCCUGGUGUAGCGGUGAAAUGCGUAGAUAUCAGGAGGAACACCAAUUGCGAAGGCAGCUCGCUGGAACGUAACUGACGCUGAGACGCGAAAGCGUGGGGAGCAAACAGG